UACGAAGGGGGCUAGCGUUGCUCGGAAUCACUGGGCGUAAAGCGCACGUAGGCGGAUUGCUAAGUCAGGGGUGAAAUCCUGGAGCUCAACUCCAGAACUGCCCUUGAUACUGGCGACCUUGAGUCCGGGAGAGGUGAGUGGAACUGCGAGUGUAGAGGUGAAAUUCGUAGAUGUUCGCAAGAACACCAGUGGCGAAGGCGGCUCACUGGCCCGGUACUGACGCUGAGGUGCGAAAGCGUGGGGAGCAAACAGG
rnacentral:rRNA from 1 species